rnacentral:lncRNA from 1 species
AUUCAUUUCCCUUCCUGAUUUUCAAUCAACUCUCUCUUUCUCUCCCCCCCCCCCCCCCCUCCCCUCUUCGACUCUACCUUUUCUUCUCUCUACCUUAUCGAGCACCGUCGUUGACAGCGAUCUGCACGCCUAUCAUCCUCACCGCAAAUCAAGUGAUGCAUUGUUGUGGCAACAACUUCAUCUUAUAGUGAUUUGUGAUUCAAUGUUGCUGCAACUCACUGCAUGGUGUUGAUGGUGCAAUGGUGUUGAUGGCACUGGUGGGGUGUGUUGCGUUGUGGGGCUGUGUUGGGGAUGGUUUUGGUGCGUUUGUAGAGGGUUGGGUUGUUGGUCUGUGUUGGACUCAAUGCAUUUGUGUUAGGCUAUGUCUGUGGGUGGUGGCGAUGCUAUAGUGGCAGAGGCACGUGGGGCAAUGAAUGGUGGUGGCAGUGGUUUACAUGUUUUGGUGGUGGUUUUUGUUGGUGGCAAUGGUGGUUGAUCUAGUGGUGGUGUUGGAUCCACAGUGGAUCUAAUGGUGACAUUGUUGGAUCUAGUUGUGGUGGUAAUUUUGUUGAUAUAGGCAAUGGUGGCAAUGGUUUUUGUUGAUACAAGCGACGAUGGCAAUGGUUUUUGUUGACACAUAGUGGUGGUGUCACGCAGUAGAUAUGGAAAUUUUUUUGUGUAGGAGUUGUGGUUGUGGGGUGUGGUGGUGGAAGAGGAAAUAAGGUGCUAGAAUGGGGUGUGGUCGAGGUAGGGUUGGGAAUGUGUGAGUGUUUGUGACCAAUUAUUUGGUUGAUUUUAACGAAUAAGUUGGUUAAUAUGUGAUUAAUAAAUAAUUUGUGAUCAAUUAUUUGAUAGAUCGUGGCUAAUAAAUUGGUUAACUUGUAAUCAAUAAAUAAUGUGUGGCCUACAAAAUGUGAUUGUGAUUCGCAAUUUAUUG